UACGGAGGAUGCAAGCGUUAUCCGGAUUUAUUGGGUUUAAAGGGUGCGUAGGCGGAAUAUUAAGUCAGUGGUGAAAUCCUGCAGCUCAACUGUAGAAUUGCCAUUGAUACUGAUAUUCUUGAGUGUAAUUGGAGUGGACGGAAUAUGUUGUGUAGCGGUGAAAUGCAUUGAUAUAACAUAGAACACCUAUCGUGAAAACAGUUCACUAAAUUAUAACUGACGCUGAGGCACGAAAGCGUGGGUAGCGAACAGG
rnacentral:rRNA from 1 species